CCCCCAUUCCCUUCUGUCCCUCCCAUCAAAAAGUUUAUGGCGGCUGCGCCGUUCUUCCCACCAGCACCGACUGAUGCUUCAUUCGAAGCCAGAUUUGAUUGCGGGGGAGGUGGAAAGGCGACCGACAACGAGGGGCCUCUACACGACAGCGCCUCUGCGACCACGAUGACAUCUUAGUAUCACUCUCACAUGGUUCCAGCAGCCAGGGCAACCACAUCGCCAGGAGAUUGUAGGCUCUGGGAGGGAUUCAGAUUUGUUUGUUGAUUGGAAGAAGAAGAAGAUGAUCCCUGUUACUCCUCAAGAAGAUCUGCUCUCUGCUUCCUCUGCUUCAGAAAGUGACGACGACAACGAGGACACCGACAUGAGUUCUGGUUUUGGCAUGUGAGCUUGUGGGUUUCUCUAUGAAGUUCCUUUUGGCGCUCAUGAUUCUAUCCUUUCCUAUGUGCUUUUGACAAAUGAAUUCUGAAAACUUUGUGAUGCAUGUAAUGGACUAUGGACAUGCUGCUGUUGUUACUGAACGUAAGCGUCGAACUGCUGAUGUUAUGCUUGAUGCAAGUCUUGAUUUUGUAUUUCUAUUUA